CAGUCGCCGCGGUAAUACGAAGGGGGCUAGCGCUGUUCGGAUUUACUGGGCGUAAAGGGCGCGUAGGCGGACUGAUAAGUCAGGGGUGAAAUCCCAAGGCUCAACCUUGGAACUGCCUUUGAUACUGUUUGUCUUGAGUUCGAGAGGGGUAAGUGGAACUGCGAGUGUAGAGGUGAAAUUCGUAGAUAUUCGCAAGAACACCAGUGGCGAAGGCGGCUUACUGGCUCGAAACUGACGCUGAGGCACGAAAGCGAGGGGAGCAAACAGGAUUAGAUACCCGUGUAGUCCCUGUCUCUUAUAA
rnacentral:rRNA from 1 species